rnacentral:sRNA from 1 species
ACACCCGCGGUGGCGGCGGGGGCGGGCCCUCCGCGCACCCUCUCCGGGGAGGGGCGCACCCGUGGAUUGGCUAGCGGGCAGUGAGUGACAGCACGCCGCCACGCCCCCUCCCCACAGACGUCUUUUGCGAGGGCUGAGCAGACCGAUCCUAGAUUGGCCUUCGAGGGUGUCUUCUCGGGAAGAGGCCCUGCAGGUGUGGGCAGGCACCUCAGACCCUCGGACGCGGGCCCGGUGGCCUUCGAGGCCUCUCGCGUGGACCGCUGCCCUCCUCACGCUUCGUCCUCGCCCUACCUGCAUGCUGAUAGUCUCCGAAGCUCUGGUUUUAUCUUAGCCUUGUUUUCUUCUGGACUCAGUGCUGGGCCAGUUGCCUGGUGGCUUCACCUCUGCGCAGACAGGUGACGCCAAUCCUGGGUCUCCCCUGACCUCCCGACCCAGGCAUCUCACUAUCUGCGCCACAGCCUUCCCAUCCUCAUCACAUGGCUCCUUCCAGCAGCUACACCUUCUCUAUAUGGCAGCGAACCCCUGAGUUUAGAAGGCCCCACGCCUUGCCAGGAACCUUUGUUCUUUUCUGCCUCACUCCUAGAUAAUCCACUGAGGUUCUUCCCUCCUCGAGCCUUUGGGGCUCUCUCUAGUCUACCAACGAUCCUGAAGCCCCAUCUUCUCUCUGUACACUAUCCUCUUAGGUCUUGCCUGCAUCUGCUUCAGAAUUUACCAAUAAAAUGAAAUUCAAUCCUUUCAGUUAAGUACGUGAAUUCCCACUGUGCUUCAAAUCAGCACAGCUUCGUCGUUCCCCUUCCUCUCCCGCAUCAUCUCUCGCCACUGACUUUCCCUCAAUUCUCCACACAGGACACCUGUCUGUGACUGCUGAAUAACUUAAAAUCAAUCUUGCAAAAGCCGUUCCUCUGAACAGUACGGGCAAACCUGAGGGCAUCCCUUGAUCCUGCUGUCUGACCAGUGAUGAGCAGUUGGGCAGCUAUCAUGCAACUCUGGAUAGCUUAACUGCAUUUCAGAGGUUCAGAGCCCGACGACUUGAAGUGAGCUACAUAAUAAGUGGGGACCUGAAUCCGUGUGUUUCUGUUCCACAGGAGAGCCCACUGUGUGAGAGCACACAUCCCUACUGUGCCUUCUAGAGGAUCUGUUAGCAGGGCAGGAACACAUAAAGCCUGUUCCAGAAGUGGCCACAGAAAUGUCCACAGGCCGUGCUGUCUGACAAGGGCACAGGGAGCAAGAAGGCCCUGAUCUAGAUUCUUCCGUGGUUGUGGGGAGAGAACGAAGUGAGAGGUUCUGUGUGUUCAUGAAAUACAGCCUCCUCAAAUGAGGAAGGAGGAAGUGUUGCCUGUCUUCACAGGCCAGUGAAGUUCAAGCUUCAAGGAAGCAAGCGUUUCCUGCCGUGGUCCCAGCACCUGAGACCAUUAAGGAAGGUGGUUCUGAAUAGAACGCGUAUGCCAGCAAGCUCAGGUCUAGACCCUUCAGUCCGUGACCCAUUUGGACCUUCCUUUUAGCCAGGAGCUCACCUUUUCAUCUUGAAUUUCAGACUUAGGAUAACAGAAGGAACAUUGGUAGGGAUUAUGGCUACUUUGGGGUACCCAGAGCUCUGGGUUGGCUACAGUUAACAGUUAACUCCUUCGACCAAUCAAUAGUCUUCCUUCCAUCUGAGAGGCUUCUGAGAUCUGGUACUCAGUACAGACUGGAGGCUUCACCACAUAAGAAAGCUAUCCUGUUUCUGUUCAGUACAUGUGGAAAGCUCUCCACAAUUGUUUCCCAAAUAAACAGGCCGUCUUGUGCAAGCGCUACUGCCCACACUGGGCUUAGGCAGCUCUCGGAGGAUAACUGUACAUUUCCUGGCUUUCUGGGCCUAUCUUUAGGGAUGGAGCCUCUGCUACUCUUGAUUCCACAUCAGGACAGACGUACUUCCAGGUCAAGCCCCAUACCAUCUUCCCACUGGGAGGGACCAACCCUUGCUGACCUGAAUGAACAGACCGUGCACUGCACUAAAUCUCAGCCCCCGGCCUUUACUGUGGCCUGGGGCCUCAUUCACAAAGAGGCAGACGCUAUGUUUCCGUUAAGUUGUAGGAGUUUAUUUUAAAUAACCUACAGUUGAUUAAAAGGGAAUUCAUGAUAAAAAUAGAAGAUACUUGAGGAAAGAUGUGGGAAUGGACUCUGCACACACACUAAACUAACAAUGCCUCUAAAACUAAUGAUUAUAGCAAAAAAAAAGUCUUCACAUUAAAAUUUUCCUUUUUAUGGUUUUUUCCAUUUUUUACACAAUUACAAAAGAAAAAAAAAUAAAAGCCCUAAAAUCUUGAUUAUUUUUUCCUUUUUGUUUUGUUUUUGUUUUUGUUUUCCUUGGACCAAAUGCUCAUUUUCCUCUAAAUUUAUUGACCUGUGGAAGUUUUUAUACAAUAAAAUCUUUCAAAUGAAAGACUGGGGUUUCCAAAGAAAAAGAUGGAUUUCUUAAAGGGUACAAAGAAUGGUCAGAACA